GAUGAACGCUGGCGGCGUGCCUAAUACAUGCAAGUCGAACGGACAGGCGAUGAUCUUGCGGCGCUCUCGUUAGCCGCACGGGUGUGUAAAACGCGUGUAACACGUCCCUGUAUUAGGGGUAACUUCUCGAAAAUGGGGCUAUUAUAGCAUAGGAGAUAUUGAUCCACGUGGGGGGAUGGUAAGUUUCGGCGGUGGUGGAUGGACUAGAGGGUUACCAGCUUGAUUGUGGGGUAGUGGCUUACAAAGCUUUCGAAGGCUAGCCGGCCUGCGCGGGUGACCAGCGACAAUGGUACUGAGGGAGGGCCCAGACGCCAACGGGAGGCAGCAGUGGAGAAUAUUACGCAAUGGGCGGAAGCCAGAGGCAACGGCGCCGCGUGCGGAAUGACGGCUUACGGGUUGUAAACCACUUUCGCCUGUGACGAAGCGUGAGUGACGGUAAUGAGUAAAGAAGCACCGGCUAACUACGUG
rnacentral:rRNA from 1 species